rnacentral:rRNA from 1 species
UACGUAGGAGGCGAGCGUUGUCCGGAUUUAUUGGGCGUAAAGAGCGUGUAGGCGGCCAGGUAGGUCUGCUGUGAAAACUCGAGGCUCAACCUCGAGACGUCGGCGGAAACCAUCUGGCUAGAGUCCGGAAGAGGAGAGUGGAAUUCCUGGUGUAGCGGUGAAAUGCGCAGAUAUCAGGAAGAACGCCCGUGGCGAAGGCGGCUCUCUGGGACGGUACUGACGCUGAGACGCGAAAGCGUGGGGAGCGAACAGG